UACAGAGGUCUCAAGCGUUGUUCGGAUUCAUUGGGCGUAAAGGGUGCGUAGGUGGCGGGGUAAGUCAGGUGUGAAAUCUCGAGGCUCAACCUCGAAACUGCACUCGAUACUGCUUUGCUUGAGGACUGGAGAGGAGAUUGGAAUUCACGGUGUAGCAGUGAAAUGCGUAGAUAUCGUGAGGAAGACCAGUGGCGAAGGCGGAUCUCUGGACAGUUCCUGACGCUGAGGCGCGAAGGCCAGGGGAGCAAACGGG
rnacentral:rRNA from 1 species